AGCCCGGCGCUCGGAGGGGAUCAGGGGUCGGGGUCACACCUCAACUCGGCAGGGCUGGGGUGGGAAGGGGGAGGUGAGGCGGCGAAGGAGCCCGAACUUACCUGACUGCGCGGCUCCCCGCGCCGCAGUCGCGGCCAGCCAGAGGCAGAGGCAGAGGCAGAGCGAGAGGGGGCGCGGGAGGGUCCGCCGUGGGCGCAUGGAAGGGCCGGUGAGCCGCCGCCGCCGCCGCCGCCGUCCGAGCCUCGCUCCCUCCCUCCCUCCCAGGCUCCGGGCGACGGACGGGGCGGCGGGAGGCAUGACGGGAAAUUCCUGGGCACGGGCAGCCGAGUCCAAAUAUGAGCAUGGGAGACGAGCGAGGGAGGACCGCGGAGCGCGCCCGCCGCGGACGGGGCCCGCUGCCCGGCCUCGGCGGCCGCCAACUCCCUCCUCCUCCGAAUCCUCCUCCUUCACCGCCGCCGCGAGGCCGCCGGCCGCCGAGCGCGAGCGGGAGGUGGAAUCUGUCUGCCUGGGCGCAUCCCUCUCCAGGGUUGAGGCCCAAGAGCGGAGCCGAGCACCCCACCCAGGUCCCACCUGAGACCCCUGAAGGGGCAGAAAAGAGAGAAACCACCACGAGGAGACCGGACAGCGAGCCAGGGACCCGCCGGAGGACGUUUAAGGGGUUUGAGGAGACUGUUGCGUUGCCCCUAAUCAGUUGAGAGCUUUGGGUAACGAGGGGAUGAAAAGAUCUGGCAAAUACUUCUCUAAGUGUGGGAGGGUGAGGCUGGAGCGGCACUGUGCAUUCAGGUGAGCCAUCCAGCACGCAACAAACAGGCGUUGUAAUUCUUAAAACCACCCACCCGCAUUCCAGACAAAGGACCCAGAAGAAGAGGUGACUGCUUCCCCUGCUCCCAUCCCUCCCCCUGCCCAGUGAUGUGCUGGUAAAUAAAUGCUGAACAACCAGAUCUGGAGGCGGGAGAUCUCAGCUGUAACAAAACCCAGUUUAUGUGGUGCCAGUGUUCCCACCGACCCACGGCAGAGCUGGGAAGAGAUGCGCGCACCAUCUCUCGGGCCUGUAAGGGCCAGCCCCGGCACACCUCUGCGUCAACUCUUUGUCAGAUGCCUUCAGAAUGCGGCCAUAAUUCAAGGUGCACAAACAACCGCAGCUCUUUCCAUCCUGUUCCCACUUGCUGCUAGUUCUCUGUCUACUAUCAAAUGUCCCCGAGGAGAGAAUCUGUCACCAUUGUCCUUUUAGGGGAAAGCUCUCCUUGGAGGCUAUCUCGGAAGCCGCUGAGCAGCCCAUAGGCUGGCUACCUCUGAGCCAGGUGUCCUCUCCUACUCCAUCUGUGGCUAGGAUGGACGGCUCACAUGCUAGACAACAUGGUCACCCAUGCUGAAGAAACAGACUGUGUUGCUACCUGCUUAGGGGGUUGUGGUCGGGGUGGCCUCUUUCGAAAGGAGGCUGUAAGCACGACAGGUUUUCAAGCGGUGGUCUCUCUGACAUACUGUUCUCAGCUCUUCAGUGAGAUCCUCUCGGCCACUACACAGAGCUUUGGGACAGCUUCUCCGCCACAUACCCCAAGGAACAUCUUGGGUAGGUGCCAACAACUGCAAACAGGAGAAUGGACAGGUUAGGACUGGAUAGGAUUCAAAAGCCCCUCAUUUAGGGGGAGAAACCCUAUUAAGUUCAGUGAACAUUUAUCAAGUGCCAUUGUUUCAAACCAAUAGUGAUGAUUGGAGAGUAAGGAAAUCAUCUCAUAGGAUGUCAUAGACGAUCCAGGAGAAGGUUUUCCAGACUACACUCAAUCCAAACUCCACAGAUUCUGCUUUCCUAAUCUGGGAAGUAGAACAGCGUGACUCAGCUCUGCCGAGAACACUUCUAUAUUGGUAGAAGCGUGCCCCGUGCCUCAAUGUGCUGGGGUGGGAGUGGGGUCGAGGAGAACUAUUCUCAACAACGUGAGGGACACAGAGUCAAUGCUGACUGGCUCACGGAGACACUUGAAAUCUUCUUUUACACAGUGGAAGCCAUCCCUUUUGUUAAUUCUGGAGAUAGUUGAUGUAUUCCCAUGAUGGAUGCGCUACCUGAUUCUCCCAGCUUUGGAUAUGUGGCUGCGCUACAACAAACAACUAUUUUGACAAGAUUUUCAAUAUUGUAAACCAUUAAAUAAUCCUCUCUAGACCAGCAAAGCUGCUUGACUGUUAGCAAGAUCGUAUCACAUAAAGUGAUAUACGCUACAUCAACCAUAUACACAUACAGAAGAAAAGAGAGCGAAGGGGAAGGAGCAAGAAUGAACAGUUGAAACUGCACAGGAAAAUUCUGAUGGGAGACUUGAUUCUACUUUCAUUCAGUCUCUUAGUGCUUCUUCUGUCGAGAGCACCUAACCCCACAGUGUGUGCAUCCAGUGUUUACAGGUGCUAGUGUCUCACCCAUGGAGGCUGAAAGGUCAAAACGACAAGGAGAAAGCAGCCUGGUUUCAACCCACUCCUUUUGUAAACAGAGGGGCAGACUAGGAUUCGGAACUGAUGAUCACGCGUACCCAAGAACAGCCCAUGGUAAAACCAGAAGGCCCACAGUGCAUACGACUGGGGAGCAUUCUGGAGAAGACAGGUGGAGGAAAUACUAAGGUCAGGCUUGAUGAUCGACCCGUGGCUUAGCGAAGGCUGCCUCGGAGCAGAAGAUUGUGGGUGAUAGUCUCCGAUGCUCAGAUGCUCGGUCUCAGGCCACGGUGACCACCAAUGAACUGAUGGAUCUGCAUCUUGAGCAACAGCAAGAUAUUAUGGAGGAGGUCUUGUCUGCAGAGGAGAAAAAGGCAGAGGAAACUCUCACCUCAAAUGAGAUCAGGGAGAUGUGUAAAAUGUGGGAAACAGUGCAAUUCUGUAGAAAAGCACCACCUGAAUAAGGCUGUAGCAAUGAGAGCAAUGAACGUUUAACGACAAUGUAGUAUCACAUUUCCACGAAAUCCUCAAAAGGAGGCAAAAGCAAGUGUCACUCAAUAGGUUCCUUGUUAAAGCUGUACCAAAAGAAAAAGAUUCCAUUGAGCCAAAAGACAGCAGUGAUUCCGUUAGUGAUAGUGAAAGUCGUCCUACACAAUAACUCCCCUCUCUUGUCUCCCUCACACCAGCCAUGAAGGUUUUCAAAGGUUUCUAGAUCUACUCAACAUCUCAUUUUUCUAUGAUCCAGGAAAACUUCUAAUCAGUUAUCAGAGCAUCAUAGAGAAUGCCAGAACGUUAUGUCAAGUAACAAUUAUGUAUUUUAGAAAGAUAACCUUUUCAAUUUAAGGAGCAUGUGCAGGCUUCCAAUGUCCACCCACUCAUAGAAAAAAAGAAUGCGACCACCUUGAGGACUGGGCCAUGUCUUUCUCAUCUUUGCAUCCCUAACAAGUAACAAUACUUGACCUUUGUUAGCAAUCAAUAAAAGUCUACCAACUGACUAAUUAACCAAGUCUUUUUUUUUUUUACUUGAUUAAACCAUUAAAAAAUCUAAACCAAUGCUAUUCAAAGUAGCUAGCCCUUAAACUAUUGGUUUAUAAUGGGAUACGGAGUUUGAGCAGAAUGUGUAAAAGAAUAGCUUCCUUUUUUGAGAAAGUCUUGCUAUGAAAAAACUGCUGCUUUAGUGACACAGCUGAUGUUAUAUAGUCUUGCCCCUCUUUGAUCCAAACACCUGAGAGUCAGAAAAAGACAUUUUCAUAAAGAAAAGGAAGAUGCUGAGGAAUGGAUGGUUAAAGUUAACUUUAGGGUCUUCAUCCAUCUUUAUGACCAUACAUACAUAUAUUUACAGAUCCUCAAAAUGACUUAAAAUAAAGGCACCUAUUUUAACUGGUUAAAAAAAAAAAUAAAGACACAGGGCAUUAAAAAGUUUUUUAAAAGCCAAGACGCAUUAAAAAAAAAAAACCUAAUAAAUUUUUAAUUAGAAUUUUUUCUUUUUUUUUUAACAGGACAAGUAACAGAUUACAUCAAACUUCAGAACUUCUCAAAUAUCUAGUUAUUAUACACAUUCCCAUCUGUCUUGCAGGGAGGGAUCUUGGUCGGCUUAACAGUUUCAGGUAAAAUAAGCUGCAUAAUAGUAUAUAUUACAAUAAUAAAUGUACAAUGUUUACAUGAAAUAUGUCUUAGAAGCAAAAAAAAAAAAAAGAUGCAUCUGCAUCAAAAGGCGACCUUUUAAAAUGCCACAACUAUUUUUUACAUUCACUCUUGCAACAGGUCACAAGAUGGGGUCACUAAGCUCAGAUAAAUCACUAUGAUGCACAUAAAAUACAGAAAGAUUGGUUAUUUUAUAUAUAUUAUAUAUAUAUUUAUAUUCUCACACUUUAGCAUCUGAGACAUAAACUGAGAAUUUAAAAUUUAUUCUCUUCAGAUAACAAAUCAUUUUUUAUUUUUCAUAAACAUGGUGCCCACAAAAGCACAUAGGUAAGGCACAAUAGGGUUUUCUGUUACAGAACAGUGUGCAUCAUGUUUACUUAACCAGAAAACGUGCAUUAUCUGUGCAAGUUCAUGCUGCAAACCCAACACAUAUACAAUAAAAAACAAAAAGGAAACUGAGCUUUAAACAAAAUCAAAAUUGGUACAAUUCCAGCUGUUUCACAUAUUCAUUUGGACUGACAACAAUAUAUCAACAGGUUGUUUUUUAAAAAGCCAAUUGUUACGUUACAAGUAAACUCUGCUCAGCAACGAUUUUAAUCUGAAAUCAUAAACAGUAAUAAAGCAACUUUACUGAAACAAAGUAAAUACCGAGGCACAAAGCAACAGUCACUCGUGCAUUUACUAUAUUGCAAGCUUUCAUGACCCAAAAUUUCAAAUAUAAAUUUUCAAAGACACAUUUUGCUGCAACAAUGUGCCCUGCUUUAAACUUGACAUAGAACAGGGGAGCUGACAUUUCAUUAAAUUAUAAAUAAAUUGGGAAAAUGACUUACUCCCAAUAGUACUAUGACAUAGUCCUAGUAUUUAUAAUAAAUACAGCUUUUCACAAAAUACUUUUCCAAUAUCUGCCAAUUGCAUCUUUAUUGCUCACAGAAAUUUGAAUCCAUUACAACCGAUAUCGUAACUUUCACACAAAAUCAUACUCAGACAUUUUUAUAUAAAACUUAUAAAAGAUAUUUUAAACUUGUAUCUAAUACUUCCAGGUGUUUGGCUGUUUGAUCUAUGUGAUAGUACAGCCAUAUGUAUAUAUGUGUGUAUAUAUAUACACAUAUACACAUACAUAUAUAUACACAUACACACAUAUAUACACAUACAUAUGUACACAUUAGAUUAUGAAUAAAAUAGGAAGCUUAUUUUACUGCUUUAAUGCAGACAUCCUCACAAAACAAGACUACUUUCGCCAACCCCCAGCAUUUAUACAUAUAUACAAAAGCCAGUUUAAGUACAUGUACAUCCACCUACAGGUAUAUGUAACCACUAAACCCAAAUUAAUUUUCCUGUAUUCCAGCUGUAACAAAUGAAUCUCUUACAAGCAAUAGAAACCUAAGGUUAAAUUGGGAAAUUAACAGUUUUACCACACUGGCCUGGUAAGGAACUAUGCAGGUGACUGUAUACAAAAAUGCACAACAUUAGUUCACAGGAAAUUAUGGAAAUACAAGAGGCCUCUUCACCAUGCUUUUGUGUGGUUAUCCAAACACUUUGUGGUGCAAAAACACAACCACCACAUCUGAAAAUGCUUAAUAACGUCAAUGUUCCUCAUGCAAAACUUUAAAUGCAUUGGCUUAACUGAGCUCCAAAAACUAAAUGAAACAAUUGUUCUGUCUACUCGGCAUUGCUGCCUCACUGUUAAGUCCCUUUGGAACCUUAAGAUUUCUGGAACAUUCAAACAGAGCUGUAUUCAAUAAAAAUAUUACAUACAAAAAGCAUUUAAAAGGAAGACAAGAAGCCAAACGGGAAUUUUCCUAUUGUAAAUACCAAUCCUAGGAGUGGAAGAAAGUCUUUUCAGGAACCUCCUUGAGAAUUGGCUAGGCCAGUCCGAAGACGAAGAUGAGACAUAGAGUUCAUAUGUUUAUUUGAUGGCUUCAAGGGAGUAUUGCAAGUAAGAGCUUGGGGAAAGCGGUGGUGAUAUCUAUCUAGUCGUAAAUAUUUUACUGUAACCAAUUUCCCUGUUGUAAGAUAAAAAUAAUAUUUUAGAUCUGUAAAAAUGUGCUUAAUAUUUACAAAAAACAAACUGUGGUAAAAGACAUAUGAACAUAAUAUGCAAAUAAAGGAAUCUUAAAUUAUUACUCUAAAAAUGCUGACCUAAUAUUCUUUAAUUUAAAAUCUGGUAUAAUUUAACAGUAAGCCAUAAUUUAUGUUUUUAAAAUGUUUGUAAUACUCAAACUUCUUACCAUCAAACCAAGAGCCAUGCAAUGCCUUAAAAGCUUUUCCAGCAUAUUCUGGAGACAGACAUUUAACAUAUACACAGCCCUGUGAUAUUUAAAAAAAAAAAAAAAGAAACAAAGAAAGAAGGAGAAAAAAAAGAAACAGUCUUAGUUUAAUAGCAACAAAUCCUAAAUGUAGAAUUCGAUAGUAAAAGUUACUUUACCUCACGUGAAUUUUUGUCUACUGCAAUAUGAACAAUGCCAUCAUUAUCACUGCAUUUUUCUAAAAUUGCUUCUUGAAUUGCCAAAUGCCACUGAUCCCCUAUUUCCCUAAAAAUUGAUGGAAAAAAAAAUCAAUAGCCAUAUUCCUAUUCUGUUAAAAGUCUUUAUUGUCUCUUAUAACACAUAAACCCUAGCAGAAUGGGAAUAAUUGCAAAACUACAUACUGUUAAAACUAGUAGUUAGGUAAAUACUUGUUACAAGUACUAUACAGAAUUAAAAAAUACUGGCAUUCACAGUCCCAGACCUUCUCUCAUUUCCAGUGGAAGAAAGCACAGAGCUGAGGCAAUGAGCACAGCAGAACAAAUGUGCUGUCAUUUUUACGUCUGAAAUCUUACAUACCUGUAGUCAUUUCUUUUUUUCUCCCUAGCAAGCGUUAACACUUUAAUGAGUCUGUAGUGAACUUAAAAAACUUGAGUACUAUUUUUUUUAAUGAUAUUUUCAAAUUCCUAAACUUAAGGACAAUUCCUAGUAAAUAAUGUGUUCUGGUGUUCUCUUUUUCGAAAUAAUGGAGGAAUGAUACAAGACAAACAUUUUGCAUAAAGCAUCACCUUACUGUUACAAGAACUUUAAGAGUUCCUGCUGCACCGAUGCCUAUUUGUCUUACUUGUGAGAUACAGAGGGCAAGCUGAAGGGAGAGUGGCUACACUUUAAAUCAUAAAUCUUCAUCUUAGUAACAAAAUACUAGACUGGCACUGAUUUCCUAAUCCCUAAGUAAUGAGGUCAGCUUCUCAAAAGAGGGAUCAGAGCACUGCUAAGUGCUUAUAUCUCUGCAAAACGGAGGGGGUGUGUUAUGUGUACUGACAGAGUUUCUUUUCUCCACAGUUCCAAUUUUGUUGCCACUGAUUUGGAAUCUCGUUAUAUCAACCAUUUCUUGAAAUAAAUAAGUUACUAAAUGGGAUGUAUGGGUAUUUUCUAAGUAACACGGUUUCUACUGUUAGAAUUCUUUUUACAAAACAGAACCUGAUCUGUUGUAUCAUUGGACAAAUAAGUAACAUCUAGGAAGCAAAUUCUAGAAAUUAUUGCAGCUUAUAUAUGAAAUAGUACAGAUUCUAAGGCAAUAACUUUUGACUGUGCUAAUCUCUGGAUGCAUGUGCUGCUAUAACAUAUAAAAGAAAAGUUUCUCAAAUAUUAAAUGGACACAAAAGUUUCUCGAAUAUUACAUGGACAAGUAGACAGGUCUUAAGAAGGAAAAGUACAUCUUUGCAGAGAAUUUUUACAAUCAGAGAUUGGAAAUUUAAAAAUAGUAGAUAUUUAUCUAUAUUGCCUAAUGAGGCAAAGAAUAUUGGCAGACAAGAUUUAUAUACUUAACAAAAAGUACUGUUUAUCACCACGUGUAUCAUUAAUUUGACUCAAACAUUUAUCUGCCAUGGGGACUCGUAGUGCAUACAAAGAUUUGUAAUUUAACAAAUUAUUAUACUUCUGUGUCUUUUGGCCAGACCUUGGCCUGAAAUAUAACAAAAGAGGAGAAAAGAAAAACAUAACAGUUCUGUAGUUAGAGAUUCAAAAGUAAAAGAGAUUGUUCAAUUACAGACAUAACAAUGUAAGGAUAUUCCAAAUAAAAAUUACAUGUACCUCUGAUCAUAAUACUUACAUAACUGGGUCAAACAUAUUUCGAAUCUUUAAACAUGGUGUCAAACUAUUUGGUGGUGAAUUUCUUCUAUCUAAAUGAAAUGCUACAAAAAACAAAUUAGUGUUACUAUUUGUCACUGUUCCAUUUAGUUCAUUCAAAACAUAUUCAUUGCAUGCUUUUCCUAGGAGCCAGACCCCUGGAUAUUAAGCUAAAUCAAAGAGAGACAAUCAUUGCUAUCACAGAGUCUGCAGUUUAGUGGGUGAGACAGAUGAGAAACCGUGUCAAAAAAACCCGUUAUUGUGGCAAAUCUUAAGAAAGAAGAAUACAGGAAGCUGUGAAAGUAACUUAGGUAGUCUGGAAGUAUAGCACUUGAGGAAGUAACAUUUAUGCUGGGACCCAAAAAGUAAUAAAAGUAGACAGAGUGAAGAGAAGUAUAAAGGGCAUUUCAAGCAAAAGUGAUAGCUUAUAUAUACAGCCCCAGGCAAGAAGGAGCUCAGUGCAGUCAAGUAACUAAAAGACAGCCACUGAGGCUAGAGCAGGAACAAUAGAAAGCUAAACCUUAACAGGGACAGGUCAGAUUAUUGAGAACCAUGAAGAUCACACUAAAGUGUUUAGACAUUGCCAUAAGACCAAAAGAAAGUCACUCAAGUUUUUUUUAAGGAGAGGAAUAAUAUGAUGAGAUCUAUCUUUUAAAAUUAUAAUUUUUAAAAGUAGACUGUUAUGUGGAAAAUCGAUUAGGUGGAAACAAAAGCGAAUGCAAGGAGACCAGUGAGAAAGUUACCAUAGUUGUUUAAGAGAAAGAGGAUACUAAUGUGGGUAAGACAGGCCAGCAAUGCAGAUGGAAAUAAGUAGACAGACUCAGGACAUACGGAGAUUUGACACGACUUGUUUAAAAACUAUACAUGGGAGGUAAGGAAGAGAUUAAGGAUGACCCCCAGGUUUAUGGCAUAACCAACUGAGAAGGGGUAUCAUUAAUUAGACCAAGAACACCGGGGGAAGAGGUCCGUUUGGCAAGAGAAGUUACUGAAUUCAUGCACAUGUUCACUUUGUGGUGUCCAUAUCCUAGUAGUAUACAGGUGGUAUACAGGUGGGUAUAAAACUCUGAAAACCAUAGGACUUAAUUCAAGAU